AAGAAGAAGAUUUUAAUUUAGAACUAGAAUCGAUGGAAUGCACAUUAUAUAAUACAACAAAUGAUCAAUUAGGUGGACCAAAGGAAAUAAUAACUUUGUAGAAUUUUGUUAAGUAGUUUUUAGAUAGGUAACAAUUGUGUGUUUGCGAGGACACUGCAGAGAUAGAAGCAGAGCUAUGUAGAAUAGAUAUUAGUUCGUUUCUGUAAGAUAUUGAUAAAAUAGACUAAUAGUCCAUAGAUUAGUCAAUUCAAGGAGACAGAUGGUUAAGUUAAUUAUUAAAAGUAGUUAAUUAUAGAUUUAUGAUUAGAAAUUGGGAAUAAGAAGUAGGUAUAUAGGAGUUGUAGAAGUUAGUUUGAGUGCUAGACUAAGAUAGUCAUGAGCUGCGGUAAGCUUGGUGCUACUACUUUGUUUCUUUAUUUCUUUGUUAUUGAAAAGUAAUGGAUAGUUUUUGAAUACUAAAAAGUGAGUCUAUGGAAUAAAUCAAAGAUUGCUUUAUGAAUUAUUGAUUAUGUAAUUGGAGCACUGAGUGAUUGAAUUAUAUGAGGAGUUAUUGGAAGAUUAUGAUUAUUGUUUAUUGAGAGGUGUGUGUGUUUCGACAAAAGAAGUUUGUGAUUAUAGAAAUUAUGUGAAUUCAGAUUGGUUGGAGUGAAGUUUGUUAUUUCUGGUGUUAGAUGAAAUUAUUGUGUUUUGAGUGGUCUUUUGAGAGUGCAAGGUUGCACACUAUAGUUAUCAAUUGAUGAAGGAGUAUUGUUACUAGGAAAAAGUAUUGUAGUAUUUCUUAGUAUUUUAGUGGUUCAGAAUAUCGUUAAUUGUGUGAUCCUAACAAGUAAAACUCAUGCAUUUAGUCUUUUUCUGUGUUCAAAUCCUCCUAUACAGGUUUAUUCUGAAAAGAAUUAUAGAAUAAAUAAAACGAAAAUUACAUCUAUUUUGAUUAUAGCAUUUAAAAAAAUUAUAGAACCUAAAUAUUUAAUAUGAAGCCU
rnacentral:lncRNA from 1 species